CAGAGAUCAGGAAGUUGAAUGUCUUGAUAAGUGAAGAGCAGAAAGCAUCAGUGACACACAGUAAGAGCUCAGAGAACUGAGAGCAUUAACACACAACUGAUCUGAUCUGAUUCACCAUGAACAAAUACAUGCUGCUGCUUUUCAUUAUGGCGUCAGAUGUGACGGCUGAGGACAAAAUCGAGCCAAACCGAGGGACCAAAGUCAUCAAAACAGAAGGAGAGUCUGUAACACUGAGCUGCUCUUAUGAUUCAGACAGUGAAAAUGUGCGUCUUUACUGGUACAGACAAAAUCCCAAUGAAGAACCUCAAUAUUUAUUAUAUGAAGGAGCUCGAUUGAACUCUGCUAAAGACAGCUCUGAUCCUCGAUUUCAGUCAAGUACUUCUCGCAUAUUGACUGAACUCAUUAUUAACCGUGUGACUGUGUCAGAUUCAGCUCUCUAUUAUUGUGCUCUAAGAGUUGAAGCCCAGUGAUACAAAACAUGAAACACGUCGUACAAAAACUUAAAGCCAUUUUUCACUUUGAAGCUCUUAUGAAAACCAAAUCAAAACCUCAGAUAAUAACUGCAAACACC